GAUGAACGCUAGCGGGAGGCCUAACACAUGCAAGCCGAGCGGUAGAAGAUCUUCGGAUCUUUGAGAGCGGCGCACGGGUGCGGAACACGUGUGCAACCUACCUUUAUCAGGGGGAUAGCCUUUCGAAAGGAAGAUUAAUACCCCAUAAUAUAUUUUACGGCAUCGUAAGAUAUUGAAAACUCCGGUGGAUAGAGAUGGGCACGCGCAAGAUUAGAUAGUUGGUGAGGUAACGGCUCACCAAGUCAAUGAUCUUUAGGGGGCCUGAGAGGGUGAUCCCCCACACUGGUACUGAGACACGGACCAGACUCCUACGGGAGGCAGCAGUGAGGAAUAUUGGACAAUGGGUGAGAGCCUGAUCCAGCCAUCCCGCGUGAAGGACGACGGCCCUAUGGGUUGUAAACUUCUUUUGUAUAGGGAUAAACCUACUCUCGUGAGAGUAGCUGAAGGUACUAUACGAAUAAGCACCGGCUAACUCCGUGCCAGCAGCCGCGGUAAUACGGAGGGUGCAAGCGUUAUCCGGAUUUAUUGGGUUUAAAGGGUCCGUAGGCGGACUCGUAAGUCAGUGGUGAAAUCUCAUAGCUUAACUAUGAAACUGCCAUUGAUACUGCGGGUCUUGAGUAAAGUAGAAGUGGCUGGAAUAAGUAGUGUAGCGGUGAAAUGCAUAGAUAUUACUUAGAACACCAAUUGCGAAGGCAGGUCACUAUGUUUUAACUGACGCUGAUGGACGAAAGC
rnacentral:rRNA from 1 species